GACGAACGCUGGCGGCGUGCUUAACACAUGCUAGUCGAACGGAAAGGCCCUGCUUGCAGGGUACUCGAGUGGCGAACGGGUGAGUAACACGUGGGUGAUCUGCCCUGCACUUCGGGAUAAGCCUGGGAAACUGGGUCUAAUACCGGAUAGGAGCCACUUUUAGUGUGAUGGUUGGAAAGUUUUUUCGGUGUAGGAUGAGCUCGCGGCCUAUCAGCUUGUUGGUGGGGUAAUGGCCUACCAAGGCGGCGACGGGUAGCCGGACUGAGAGGGUGGACGGCCACAUUGGGACUGAGAUUCGGCCCGGACUCCCACGUGAGGCAGCAGUGGGGAAUAUUGCGCAAUGGGCGAAAGCCUGAUGCAGCGACGCCGCGUGGGGGAUGACGGCCUUCGGGUUGUAAACUCCUUCCGCUAGGUACGAAGCUUUUUGUGACGGUACCUAGAUAAGAAGCACCGGCUAACUACGUG
rnacentral:rRNA from 1 species